UUGGAUGCGGUGAGAGACAGCCCUGUGGGUUCCAGCACAUUUGCGCCUGCCCUCCAUUCUGCAUCCAGUUCUUUCUCCUGAUUGCUGGUCCUGUUAACCAACAGCAGCCCAGGCCCAGCCCUGGACAUUUGGCUGGGGAUGGACUAGACAACGGCCGGCUGUAGACUCCUCCACCUGAUUGCUCGUGUACCCAGGGCCAGGUCAUAGAAGUUUGGCUUCUCUCAUCGACCCUGAAGGAUGCCAUCAUCCACUCUGUCCUGCAAACCUUUUGAUCUAAAACAGCGGUCUUCCAGACGUGGCCCAUCAUCAACAGCAUCAGCGUCACCCAGGAGCUGCCUGAAGCCCUCUUGUGGGAAGCAAGUUUGUCUACUCCUUUCUGUGAGAAGUUCCCAGUCACUGGCUCACCCUGGGAGAGAGAGUACGCGUGUUCUAAAGCUACCAACAGACUUCCUCAGACGCGGUGAGUCAGUACAAACACACAGGCAAGGUUGAAGAACUCCAUGGCCUUCCUCUCUCUUGGCUCAGCCAGGCACAGUUCCUCUUAGCCCAAGACAAAACUUAGCCUACGCUGUUAAAUCAAUGGUUCUACCAGCUUCCAAUCAUAAAACCAAGGGGCAAUAAUACAUAAAAUUGGAACUUAUACAUUCUGAGUUACAGCUAAUUGCAGAUGUAUCCAAGCUCAUUAUACAUUUAUCUACCAUUUGUCUGUAAAAGAUUGCCUCUACAGUCCUUCCUUCCUUCUUUUCUUCCCCAUUCCCCUUCUUCCUUUUGGUGCACAGACCCCUUUGAGAAUCUGAUGAAAGCUACUAACCUGCCACAGAAAAAUGCAGAGAUAGAAUACUUGACAGAGAAUGCUUGACAGACAAUUUAAGGUGGUUGGUGGGUCCUUAAAGGUGAUUGAGGACCCUCAUAGGAGUAAUUACAAGUUUGAAAUUACCCAACAAUUUCAUAAUGAUCCUGACCACUAUAAUACUUUAUCGCUUUGAUGAUCAGGCAUCAUUAUAUGCAGAGACAAUUUCUAGAAGUAUAUACAAGAAAUUGCAGAUGGUGGCUACCUCUCAUAUAAGGGAAUGGGAGCCUGGAAUGAGAGGGAGAUGCGUAUUUUUUCAUUGGACAUCCUUUUACACCGUUUGAUUUUUUUAUACCAUGUGCAUAUAUUAGUUUCCUAAUUAAAGAAAAAGAAUUAAUGAAAAAGUUACUUAAGAACUAUCACUACUCAUUGUCAUUUCCAUGCCUGUGAUAUGGGAAAGGGAGAGUCAUCAAUGGGGAGGCGGUCAACCGCCUACCUAGCAGGGUGAAACCCGCAUCAGCUGGCAAAGUGAAAGCAUCACUCCAGAAAAGACAGAUGGUUUCACCGGGUCUUCAGCAUAGGUCAUUGAAGUUCCAAAUGGGAGGGGAGGAUAUUAUCAAUGUUUCAUUAGGUCCCUGCAUAGCCCUGGUGCUGGCUGGAGGAACUGGCCCAAACCUCCCAAGUUUGGUCAUUUCAUAUAAAGAUAAACAUACACUCACAUACAAACUCAGUAAUUCCACUCCUAGGUAUUUCCCCAGGAGAAGUGAAAACAUAUGUUGAUACUAAAACCUCUGAAUGUUUAUAGCAGCUUUAAUCAUAAUCACCAAAAAGUAGACACAAUCCAAAUAUCCUUUUAACAGGUGAAGGGAUAAGUAAACUGUGGUCCUGCACGUUCAUACCAUGGAAUAAAUGCAUAAAUGCAGUGUGGGGAAAUCUCAAAUGUAUUUUUUUUU